rnacentral:lncRNA from 1 species
AGUAUUCAAUCAUCAUAAACAGUUUUAUUAAUUACAGAUUUCAUGAGGAAUUUAUCAAAAAAAUCCUCAGAUUUUCAAAAUAAAUAAAAUUUAUUGACAUUACAAAGUUUUGUUUUCAUUUUUCUUCCCAUUCACACUGCUUCAUUUAAAGCACCCGAGAUGAAUUGCAGUAUGAUAUGGUUGAAUGUAUCUGUAUGGUACCCCAUUGUGAGUGUUGUAUUUUGUGUGCGGGUACACCAUGUACCUCUAUAAAAAACAAAAAAAUGUGUUGCUCUCAGUUUCUGUAUAAAACCAGAUACUCUGUAUGUCUCUGUAACAAAGGAGGUACUUUCAUUGUUUCCCUAAUAAUAGGAGAACCCCAAGUAUCACAGUUAAUAAGUACUUUCAAAGCAUCUAUAAACAAGUAUCCGUGGACCUCUGUUUAUGAGGUGCUCCAGAAUGUCUCUGUAAUAAGUGAAGUAUUUUCACUAAGUCCACAGUAUAAGAAAUACUCUGUUUCACAGACGGUGACUCUGAGAAUAAGUGGAUAUUUCACAGAAUAGUAAGGUAAGAAAAACAUCUUGGAAUGAUUUAACAAAAAAAAAAAAAAGAUCACACAUACACAAGCAACUACAUGUAUGCAUACAUACACACACAUAUAUAUAUACUCAAACAUACAUUAUUAUUAUAAAAGACCUGGAAUUAGUAAUUAAUUAGUCGACUCAUGCAGAUUGAGUUUUGAAUAAAUGUUAUUCCACUCUAUCUUACAGUAUUGAGUCUUUUUUUUUGUUUUUUUGAUUAACUGCAAUUCACGAGUACGAAACCAACAUUUAAAUAUACACAAAAACAGAUAUAAGUAUAACUUGCUCACUUGCUUUGAUAUGCUUAUUCAACAUGCUAACUUGUCCUUAUAAAAACAGCAGCCCCAAAUAUUCCAUCAAUCACGACCCAUUGUCUUGAAAAAAAAAAUAAUAAAGGGAAUACUAUGUCUGAAAUGUUUUUCAUUAUAAGUACAAUGGACUGGAGCUAGAGGAGCCAUUGAGGUGAUUGAGACAAUUUGUCAAGCUUCUCCCAGAGGAGAGAAAAAUUAGACUCACUACCCACAUGAAGCUUGAGAGUCACUACACCUCCAGGAGUAAUUUGAUUUUCCUUGCCAAAUUGUUCCUUUAGGCUCUAAUCAUGCUUAGCCUAACCAGGGACUGAUCUGGCACUAACACAACAAUGCUACAUUGUUACCUUAAGUAAAGGAUAUACCGGGGUAGUUUUCCUUGUUAGAUGAAGUGCAAAAGCAAAUCGAAUCCUUGGAGUCAUCCGACGAUCAUUUGACUUCAUCCCCCUUUUGUCUUCGUCCAGCUGUACAAGUCUCUAGUUUGCCUGAUUUCUGAAUAUGGACACACAGUUUGGCAACCCCGGCAUAAGGCAAUGUGUUGUGAGUUGGAGGAUGUUCAGAGGCGUGCCACCGAACUCAUUGCAUCCUUGAAAGAAAAGCCAUACCCAGAGCGCUUGGUUGCAUUAAACCUGCCUAGUCUCGAACAUCGCCAUCUCAGGAGGGGAUAUGAUCAAUAUUUAUAAGUAUAUACAUGGCCUGUACCUGACCAACCGCCCCCAAUUCAACUACUUCCAAGGCAGAAAUACGAGAGGACACUGAAAUUGGAAAGAUCACACUGCAGGCUCAACAUUAGAAGCUGCUUUUUCGUACAGCGUGUGAAGGCCACCUGGAACAGUCUGCCAAACAGUGUGGUCGCAGCUCCAUCAGUCAAUGCCUUCAAGAACAGGCUUGAUGCACAUUGGAGGGAGCUUCCUGCAAAAUUUGACCCUGUCUGUUACUAUUAGCUAUAACUGUCAAAGUGUUGUACCACACAUGACAAAUUAAUUGUACUAGUGGAAAAGGACCUUUGAACAAGCUCCUAGGAGCUUCAACACAGAAACCAUCCAGUAUCCAGUAAGUGUAAGAUUUUAAAACUAUUCUCCAAACCGGUCUUCACAUAAAUAGUUUGUUGUUUUUACUUAAGUAAAUAAAUUUAUACACACUUGCAUGAGUGUAUAUACACGCGUAUGUAUAUAUAUACUCACAAACAUCUAUCAAAAUAUCUGAAUGUAGACACCGACCUGAACAAGUGCUGAAUACCACUACACAAGUCUAGAGAGAGUAACAGUAUGGGCAGAAAUCUGGCAGGCGGAGUUUCGGAUAAACUCCCCAUCAAAACAGAGAAACCAACUUAUGUAGGCGUCCUGAUCCGAAACUCCACCGUUCGGCAUAUAGGGAAUGUAAGCGCUGUAGGUGGUAAUCAAAAUGUUUAGAUUAGUUACAGGGUGCGGCAGAAAAGGUUUCCCCGAUUUCAAAGGUUAAUAAAAAGCAAACACAUGAAGAUACAAGAAAAAACGAUGCUCUCCACCCCAGGCCAUGGAGGGUACUACCUGAAACAGAAAAGAAAGUGGCAUUUAAUGAACUUCAUAGAAAUGCAAAGUUUUUUCAUGCAUUUUCCAUGUGUUUGUUUUAUAUUAACCUUCGAAAUCGGGGCAACCUUUCUGCCGUACCCUGUACUUCCUUGUUCCAGAUUAACUCAGAGGGUUUUUACUGCCCACACUGAAUAAAGCCACAUUACGCAUUACAAGUUUCACUUCUCUUGUUAAACAUUCACAAACGGUAUAAGUCAACUAAUGGAACAAACAACAAUUUUUCUCUCACUUCACUUCUCUUAUUUGAUCAAUAUAAAGUACGCAAAUCGUUGUCUCUAACUGACGGCGGGACGGUCCCGCAGUACGUAUAUACGUACGGUGGGACCGACCCGCAGUACGUAUAUACGUACGGUGGGACGUUCCCGCAGUACGUAUAUACGUACGACGGAACGGUCCCGCAGUACGUAUAUACGUACGGUGGGACGGUCCCGCAGUACGUAUAUACACACAUAUACACAUAUAGUCGCUUAAUAAUCCAUAAGUUAGAGUAAAAAUAAACAAACAAUAGGAACAAACGCAUACAUAUAUUUGAAUGUACCAAUGGGUGAAAGAUUAGUAGAGUUUAUUUAUUCGCUCGGAAUUUCUUUACCACGAACUUGGAGUAAGCAAUGGAGUGAACCAUCAGCUUCGAACGAAUAUAUAUAAUCCACAUAUAACAGUGACUAGUUAAUAUAAUUAACAAAUAUUAUUAUCAUACACAUAUAAGAACAACCGUCCGUCACUCGUCACAACACACAGACACAUAAACAUAUUCAUCGCAACACAACAAACACACCCAAAUAUUAUACAUACAUUGUCGGAUAUAUAAACAUAUACAUCGCAUCACACAAACAUAACUGGACAAAGAAUACAUCCAUACAAAACAAACAACAGUCUGAAUUUACGAAAACAAAGCGCGACUCUGGCUUCAUCAUCCGGAAAGGUAUUUCCUUGCAAAGAAAUGGCAUUUCCUUUCGAAGACGGGCGACUUGAUGGGAGUGUUGAUCUCAUAGAAAGGAUUCAGAGUGUGUUUGAUGUAAAUCUCGUAGACGUCUGUGAAGAAAUUCUUGAUGCCGUCCUCGUGUUUGACGUCGUGUAACAUAAUGAAUCGGAUGCGACUGGCCGUGACGAAGGACGAGACGAACCAUUCGUUGAAUUUGUCGCCGAUCUUCAGAUACAUGUUGUUCGUCGUCCACAUCUGUUCGUCGACCAGGUCCAGUGCGGCGUGAGCUAUGAACUGGUUCAAGUGUCGGUGGUCGUCCUUCUUCAGGUCGUGGUUCUUGUGAUUGGGCGGGCAGGUUUCCAUCUCGAAUAUCGGAUUGUCGUGGUGUCCGACGAUUGCGAAGUAAUAACUUCCAGACAUGGCCUUCCGGAGGACUUGUUCAAUAAUCCACAAAUAAGUAAACACAGAAAUAUAUAUAUUAAUAAAUUAACUUUAAAUAUGCAUAUAUAAAUCUUUAUACUCGUAAAUAUCCAGUUAUUUAGAUACAGAUAUAUGCAUAUAAAUAUAUAUAUAGAUAUAUAUAUUCUAUGGUAAACAGUGGAAUAUAAUUUUAUCUGGCUGAUGUGUCGCCUCCAAAUUAUUGAGUUGUGUU